CUGUGCACUUGCUAAGUGUUACUAAAGACAUCCUCAAUGCUAUGGAAGACUGCAUACAAAGGUUCUGCCCAAUCUGUGAGAAAAGUGAGCGUGAUCAUCUUCCCGUCACAGCAACUGGAAAUAUUUAUGACAGUAUGAAAAAGAAAAGAAAGGGCUUUGUGCCCCUGACCCCAGUAUUCUCGGAAUUAAAAAGCAAGUUGUUCAUUUUGUACAAAUCUGUGUGCCUGUGAGCAGUAUCACUGAUGUGUUUAUUGGUAAACUUUCAUGCUAUUAAUUUUUUUUAACACUUUAGGUCUUACAAGACAUUCUUCCAAGAAGCAAGAUAAUUUGGUUUUGGAAAAGAAAAAGAGUCGGCCAUUUUUCAGGAUCAGUUCUUGGCACCACCAGAGAGCAGCAGUGUAUCCUGAACUUGAGCCAGAAACCUCUCUUGUUAAUUCCAGCUUUCGACUUCAUUUGCUAUGUGAUCUUGGAUUAAUUCUAAACCUUCUCAGAGACUCUUUUCAGCUUCAGUUUGGGGAAAUGGAACCUACUUUGCUGCCCAUGCCAGUUAUUCUGCUAACGAUAGAUACUCCAAAUCAGACAUAAAUGGGAAGAAGUAUAUGUAUUAUGCAUGCGUACUUACAGGUGAUUACUCUAUUGGAAAUUCAUCGUUCAUUAUUUCUCCACCAAAGGACCCUCAAGAUUCUGAUAUUCUGUAUGACAGUGUUACUGACCACAUGCAAAAGCCUACAUUAUUUGUCAUAUUUUAUGACAAUCAGUCUUA
rnacentral:lncRNA from 1 species